rnacentral:sRNA from 1 species
CAGAAUCUUGGGCCCCACCCUAGACCCCAGACCUAGUGGACCAGAACCUGCAUUUCAUUUUAACCAGACACCCAGGCGAUUCGUAUGCACGCUGACAUUUGAGAAGCCCGGGUCUGCAGGAUCCCAUUUGAUGGAGCUCACACUUGACUUUUACCUUCUCUCCCCUCCCCCAUCAAGUUGUGCUAACUUGCCCUCUGCCUUCCCCCGCAGUGUCACUACUCCAUCCAGAAGGGAGCUGCGUUUCUGGGACUUGGCACUGACAGUGUCCGAGUGGUCAAGGCUGAUGAGAGAGGGAAAAUGGUCCCCGAGGAUCUGGAGAGGCAGAUUGGUAUGGCCGAGGCUGAGGGUGCUGUGCCGUUCCUGGUCAGUGCCACCUCUGGCACCACUGUGCUAGGGGCCUUUGACCCCCUGGAGGCAAUUGCUGAUGUGUGCCAGCGUCAUGGGCUAUGGCUGCAUGUGGAUGCUGCCUGGGGUGGGAGCGUCCUGCUGUCACAGACACACAGGCAUCUCCUGGAUGGGAUCCAGAGGGCUGACUCUGUGGCCUGGAAUCCCCACAAGCUCCUCGCAGCAGGCCUGCAAUGCUCUGCACUUCUUCUCCAGGAUACCUCGAACCUGCUCAAGCGCUGCCAUGGGUCCCAGGCCAGCUACCUUUUCCAGCAGGACAAGUUCUACGAUGUGGCUCUGGACACAGGAGACAAGGUGGUGCAGUGUGGCCGCCGUGUGGACUGUCUGAAGCUGUGGCUCAUGUGGAAGGCACAGGGCGAUCAGGGGCUGGAGCGGCGCAUCGACCAGGCCUUUGUCCUUGCCCGGUACCUGGUGGAGGAAAUGAAGAAGCGGGAAGGGUUUGAGCUAGUCAUGGAG